UGACGAAGCGACGCCGCGUGGGUGAGGAAGGCCCUCGGGUUGUAAAGCCCUGUCAGGAGUUAAGAAAUGUAGGUGUGCUAAUAUCACGCCUAUUUGACGAAGGCUCCAAAGGAAGUCACGGCUAACUCUGUGCCAGCAGCCGCGGUAAUACAGAGGUGGCAAGCGUUGUUCGGAAUUAUUGGGCGUAAAGAGCACGUAGGUGGGUUUGUAAGUCAGAUGUGAAAGCCUCCUGUUCAACGGGAGAAUUGCAUCUGAAACUACUGAUCUUGAGUGUAGGAGGGGAGAAUGGAACUUCUGGUGGAGCGGUGAAAUGCGUAGAUAUCAGAAGGAACGCCGGCGGCGAAAGCGAUUCUCUGGCCUAUUACUGACACUCAGUGUGCGAAAGCUAGGGGAGCAAACGGGAUUAGAUACCCCGGUAGUCCUAGCCGUAAACGAUGGGCACUAAGUAGAGGG
rnacentral:rRNA from 1 species